GAUGAACGCUGGCGGCGUGCCUAAUACAUGCAAGUAGAACGCUGAAGAGAGGAGCUUGCUCUUCUUGGAUGAGUUGCGAACGGGUGAGUAACGCGUAGGUAACCUGCCUUGUAGCGGGGGAUAACUAUUGGAAACGAUAGCUAAUACCGCAUAACAAUGGAUGACACAUGUCAUUUAUUUGAAAGGGGCAAUUGCUCCACUACAAGAUGGACCUGCGUUGUAUUAGCUAGUAGGUGAGGUAAUGGCUCACCUAGGCGACGAUACAUAGCCGACCUGAGAGGGUGAUCGGCCACACUGGGACUGAGACACGGCCCAGACUCCUACGGGAGGCAGCAGUAGGGAAUCUUCGGCAAUGGGGGCAACCCUGACCGAGCAACGCCGCGUGAGUGAAGAAGGUUUUCGGAUCGUAAAGCUCUGUUGUAAGUCAAGAACGGGUGUGAGAGUGGAAAGUUCACACUGUGACGGGAGCUUACCAGAAAGGGACGGCUAACUACGU
rnacentral:rRNA from 1 species